CGGUAGACGCGAACUGCGUGAUCUACCCAUGGGCAGGUUGAAGCGCGGGUUAAACUGCGUGGAGGACCGAACUCACUUGGGUUGAAAACCGAGGGGAUGACCUGUGGGGAGGAGUGAAAGUCUAAUCAAACGCAGAGAUAGCUCGUUCUCUCCGAAAUAACUUUAGGGUUAGCCUCGAGCAACUAUGAUACGGGGGUAGAGAGACUGAAUCGGAUGGGGGCCCAUUCCAGGGUACCUCACUGAACCAAACUCCGAAUACCGUAUUAACUAUCUCGGGAGUUAGUCUACGGGGGAUAAGCUCCGUGGUCGAGAGGGAAACAACCCAGAUCGUCAGCUAAGGUCCCAAAGUAGUACUCAGUCACUAAGGAAGUUGAAUCUCCGUGACAGCCAGGAUGUUGGCUUAGAAGCAGCCACCAUUUAAAAAGUGCGUAACAGCUUACUGGUCGAGAGAUUCUGCGCCGAUAAUGAACG
rnacentral:rRNA from 1 species